rnacentral:sRNA from 12 species
CCUUUGGAGUAUUAUAUCAAAUGUUAGUAGUUCUACGGAACAAGGACAGAUACAAUGAAAAAGGAA